CAUGCCGCAUACCCGCCACGUCACACUUUUUACGCGUUAUAUGCAUUUAAUUUCUAUCCGAUAACAGCAACGUACGGUCCCGGAAGAGAUUUUGUCAUUUCUCGGGCAAAAACAGCACUGAGCUAAAGUCGCUGGAUUUUGGCUGCGAUAGAUUUAUGACCUGACUAAUGACUGAGCACCAGGAUGCACUAAGUUGCAGGACGAACAAGGAAACGCUACAAGCCAAUGCGUGUUACAUUAUCUUUCCGUCGGAGACUCGGAGAUGUGCCAAUGGCCCAUGGGCAUGUUUUCUAGUCAUCCCAUUUUACGGCCUGCAGAGCCUCCGUAAAGGUAUCCAACGUAACGUACGCAGUUGGGCUGCAAAGGAAGUUCAUUCCAGG